rnacentral:lncRNA from 1 species
CUGGUUCGGCAAGGGAGCGGGGGUCGCGCGCAGAGCAGAUCGAGGUUAGGCGCACGCGGGGAGACAUGCGAUCUUUACCCAGCUUCGGGGCUCUCCGGAGAGAUAACACCCCUACUGCUGCUCUGUGUUGUUAUAGAAUCUAGCUCGAGCGUGCGAGCAUAUGGUGGUGCUGCGGGUGUCGAAUGAACCGAACCCCUUCUACAUGCACAUGGGCCUCCCUUUUAUAGUCCGAAGGGGGUACCCACAGGUGGCAGCAUAGGAAGAGGGGGUAGAAACGUAAAAGCGCAGGUUGGUACAACAGUGCACAACAGUGCCCCUACCUAACUCUGACGGCAGGGGACAAGGGCAUUAAAUGCCCGUCCGGUCGCCCAACAGUGCAAGUGGAGUGACCGUUAAGUGAGCCUCCGGGUGCCACGAUGGCGCUUCUGUCGGCUCCGUUUGCCACCUCGCUCUGCAUGGUUGUGUAGCAUCUCGCCACAUGCUCUUGGGAUGGCCUGGUGAUGACGCGUCACUGGGUGCGCAGGAGUUGGGUGGCAGCCUCACCGCGGUCCUUUUGUUGUGCUGGCAAGCUUGCCGGCCGCUGGACCUUGCCGGGGCGCGCGGGGCGCCGCGGCAAGUUUUCUGGUGAUGCCAUGGUUAGCCCUCCCGGCAAGCUCUUCUUGCCGGGGCCUUCGUGUUCUUGGCUGGUACUUUGUUCUUGAAUGGCAGUGAUAAGGAGUGGUGGGGAGCCUUGCCGGACGUCAGGCGAGCCUCGCCGCGGGGUGCUGCGACUGCCCGUGCACAAGUUCGGGGUACUAAGGUGCCCCCCUACUUUAGUACACCGACAGGAGCCCCCGGGCCUGGGCCAUACACGGUGCCGAGCGUUGUUGGGCCAGGCCCAAGACAGUGCACGGGCACACGUGGCCUGGUUCCGCACAGCAAUGGGCUCCGCACCCACCGCGCUCUCCCGCAACAGCACACGUCGAUUGCGGUGUCGUGGGAGACGUGGGUGGCGGAUGUGCCCUUUAAGGCAUCCACACCCGUGAUCGUGGUGCAGGGCGAGGUCUUUUCACCCGUCGCUCCGGCCCCGCUUUUUCGCCACGCGGCCCUCAUGCAGAGGCCGAGCCGUCACGGGCGAAGAUGGUGGGUCGGCCCCGCUCCUCUACCCCUCUCGCUUUCCGAUUGGCUGGGCGGGGCGGCUGAGCCCCCACCUCGUCCUUUAAAAGGGGCGGAAGGGGAGCACAAUAGUCUUGCACCUCCUCUCUUCCCUUCGUCUUCAACUUCCGUUACUCUUCCUCCCAUCUGCUAUGGAGGGAGGGAAUCCUGGUUCUUCUAUGGUGGCAGCAAGGGUCGCCUCCAGGCAGCGCGCCUCUCCCUAUCCUGCACCCGUGGCAGCGGAGCCGGCCACGAGGGGGAGAGGUAGGGGGCGGGGCCGCGAACAGGGCCGAGGACGUGGUGGAGGCGGUCGGGGGAGAGGCGGCCGGGGCGAUGCGCCUCCCCCAUCUCCGCCGGCGGCUCCUUUCCUCGAGGCGGUCCACACUGGAGACGAUCCCUGGGAGUUCUUCAUCAAGCUGCGCCGAGCGCCUCGUCGCCGCCUCCGGCUGCCGGCCCCGUUCGCGAGUGCGAUGGAACCGGAUCCGCUCGAGGUGAUAUAGUUGCGCAUGAGGGGCUGCGGGAUGAGCGGCACUCGAGUGAGUGUCGUGUCCCCAGCCCCCGGCGUGAUGUACUUUGACCGAGGGUGGAAGACGUUCGCCCGCAUCCACAGCUUGACGGCGGGGUUUACCCUCCAUUUCAAACUAAUGGAGGGCGACCUUCUCGCUGUCAAGGUCUUCGGGGACUCCGGGACCCGGGCGAGAUGCUGUGUGGACAGCUCCUCCGAUAGCGAAGGUCCCUCCUCGAGCGAGAGUGACGAGGAGGGGAGCGACAGCGACGACGACGAGGAUGGCGAGUCCGACUAGGCGUCGGACGCUGCCGCGCGCGCCACCGGCGACCCCAUCAUCCGGGUCGCCGGCCUUCCGAACUCCCCGGGGCCAUCUCCUUGGGCGGCUGACGUAGGGAGGCUGCAGAAGAGGAAGAGGGGUGGCGGCAAGGCCGUCAAAUCGGAGUACGAGGGCGAGGAGCCCUCGUCAGCGUGCUGACGUCCCACCACCCCGUCUUCAAGCUCUGCCUCCGGCGCCUCCGUCUCCGCCAAGCCCCUGGCCGGCCCCCGGGAAGUUCUCUUGGUGUCUUCUGGCGCCCGUAGCUCUCCUAGGCGCCCCUUUCGCCCUCCCCGGCAAGCUUCUCUUGCCGGGGACUCCUUGACCUACCUCCUGAACAGAGAAACAGGAGGGGGAUUACGGGCACCUUAUCUUUUAACUUGUAAGCCUUCGGGCCUUAGUUGCAUUUAAAAUAUGUAAUCCUCUCUAUCAUGUUUUUCAUCCUCGUAUGGACUUGUACUAAACCGGGAUGUUUUUAAUGAAAAAGAAGAGGGGAACGCUUGUCGGGCCAAGUCCUCAACUUUGUGCUUUGUACAUUCCCACCCUACGCUUCUAGGGGACUCGUCGGAGCGAACACACGUGCUGAGUGCGGGACGUCAGCAGCCCGCUGGCGGUGUUGCUUCCGGCAAGGAGACCUUGCCGGGCCAGUUGCAGCGCGCUUGUGUUGCUGAGCGGACUCGGAAACAACCCAAGGGCGCAACUUAGCCGCGACUCGGCCCCUCCGCGCACGGGUUUCUUUUUACAAAGCACACUCGUUCAAGGACGCGGCCCCGCCUUCCCCGGUCCACAAGAGGAUGCAUGACGAGGGAUGAGAAACUUAUCUGACUCCGUAGCUUCCCGGCGACCUUGGUUUGCCGGGAGAGGAACCUUGGCACUCGCAGCCCCCAGCGAAGCUGGCUAGUCAGGGCCUGUGCGCCAACGCGUCCUUCUGGCUUCUCCUUGCCACUGUAAUCAUAGUCAUGAAAAUAACUGAGACAGCGUUGAAAAUAAGCUAUUCUUUCAUGAUGCGAUUCUACCAUGCGAUGCCAUUCUUUGUCCUUCGUAUGUUCGCACUCUACGCUUCUGGGGAACUUGCCGGGGCGAACACACUUGCUGAGCGCGGGACAUCAGCAGCCCGCUGGCGGUGUUGUUCCCGGCAAGAAACCUUCUCGGGCCGGUUGCAGCGCACCUGUAUUGCCGAGCGGACUCGGAAACAACGCAAGGGCGCAACCUAGCCGCGAGUAGGUUCCUCUGCGCACAAGUUUCUCAUACAAAGGCUGCCCUAUGGCAAGGCUUCCUAUGCUAUGCCCUCCGUUUCGUCGUGUCCCUUGUACGUUUUUAACCCUACGCUUCUAGGGAACUUGCCGGGGCUAACACACUUGCUGAGUGCGGGACGUCAGCAGCCUGCUGGCGGUGUUGUAUCCGGCAAGAAACCUUCUCGGGCCAGUUGCAGCAUUCCUGCAUUGUUGAGUGGACUUGGAAACAAAGCAAGAACGCAACUUAAUCCCGAGUCGGCUCCUCUGCGCACAGUUUUUUUUACAAGGGAUAAACGCUCGAGGGGUAUAACACAGGGCUAUGGGACUGAGAAGUGCUCUUGCACAAAAGCUCGGGUGACUUAGCUUUUCUGUCUUCGGUGGCCUAAUGGGGUCAUACUUCUUCCUUGGUUGCCACCACCCCUUUGUAUGUGUUUUUUUUACGCUUUUCGGGGGAACCCUUUGGUGCAAACACACUUGCUGAGUGCAGGGCACUAGCAGCCCGCUGGCGGUGUUGCCUCCGGCGGGAAGAACUCGGCGGGCUGAUUGCGGCGCGCUCCUACCGCCGAAUAAAUUCAAAGCGGAUUGACGGUGCAACCUAACCACGACCCGACCCCUCUGCGCUCGGGUUCUUCAUACAAGGGGUGGACUUCUAGAAAACACGAUCUCAAAAGCUCGCAGUUCGGUAGCUUUCUUUGCUUCCUCAGCCGGCAGAGCUCGAUGGCGUGUCCUCGACGGCAGCGCAGCGCUCCGGGGAGGGGUGCGUGCCGGAGUCGGCACCAGAGCUACUUUCGCCGGACUUGGCCUUCUUCUUCUCCCGGGGAGCUUCAGCGGCAAGUGGCUCGCGCUCUACUGCAGCUGAUGCUUCCUGGUAUAUCUUGUCGGCGCAGAUGAGCGCAUCCCUCUUGUCGCCUUGGACGGAGAUGACACUCAUCGGACCGGGCAUCUUGAGCACAUUGUAUGCAUAGUGAGAGGCCGCCAUGAACUUAGCGAGUGCGGGUCGGCCGAGUAUCCCGUUGUAGGGCAAGGGGAUAUCAGCCACAUCGAACGUGACCCUCUCAGUCCUGAAGUUCAGUUUGCUGCCAAACGUCACUGGCAAUGUGAUCUUCCCCUUAGGCUUGCUCCUUCCCGGAUUUAUUCCUUGAAAGGUGCCAGUUUCUUCUAGCUCGCUGUCGGGGAUCUGGAGCUUCUUGAGCACUGCGGAGGAAAUCAAGUUCAGGCCGGCCCCGCCAUCUACCAGCAUCUUCGUGACCUUGAGGUUGCGGAUGGUUUGUGAAACCAGCAUCGGCAAGCACCCGAUCGCGGUGACACGAUCAGGGUGGUCCUCAACGUCGAAGACGAUGGGCGUGCCGGACCACUUCAAAGGCCUGCGUGCCUCGACGGACGGCUCCGCUGCAUUCACUUCUCGCACCCAUUGUUUGAGUUGGCGGUGCGAGGAGUGCAGGGAGGCGCCGCCAUCGAUGCACAACACUUAUGUCGCCUUCUGAAAUUCCUGAUCAUCGGUCUCAUCUUCCUCCAUCUCUUCGUCCUCAUCUUCACCUUCGUCCUUGUCGCGGCCGCGGGGAGGCCUGUCACCUUGCCGCGUCUUGGCCUGGCUGCGGUUCCCUCCCCAGGCAAGAAGCUUCUUGCCGGAUCCUCCGCCACCUCCCUGGGCUCUCUCCUUAUCGCGGCGCUUGUAUUCUGCUUUUUGCAGCUCCGCCAUCUGCUCUACUUUUUUGCAGGUUUGGAGGUCGUGGCCCUUGGUGCGGUGGAUCUUGUAGUAACGCUUGCCGGAGCCGUCCUGCUUGUCGGCGGCCGCUACAGCCUCGGCGGAAUCGUCGGUCUUGGCCUUGUCGGAGCCGCCUCCGUUGCCGGAAUGCUCAACGGCUAGCACAUCCUUAGCUUUCCUCUUCCUAUUGUUCCGCCUCUGGUUCUUCCUCGUCGGGGCGGCAUCCUCGCUGUCAGAUCCUUCUGCUCCGACAAUCUCUCCGGGGAUUUUCCUUCCCUCCUCAGCUCGUGCACACUUGUCGGCCAGAGCGUAAAGCUCGUUGACAUCUCUGAUUUUGCACAUCGCCAUCUCCUCCCUCAUCCUGCGGUUACGCACGUUCUGAUGAAACGCGCUAAUAACCGCGGCAGGGUGAACGUCUGGGAUGUUGCGUUGCACCUGGCUGAAUCUUUGUAUAUACUUGCGCAGGGGCUCCCCCUCCUUCUGGACGAGCAAGUGGAGGUCACUUUCCUGGCCAUGAGGUUUGUGGCCACCCGUGAAGGCACCGACAAACUGAUGGCACAGGUCCGCCCAUGAGGAGAUGGAGCCGUCCGGCAAGUGCAUGAGCCAAGAUCUGACGUUGGCUUGAGUACCAGCGGGAAGUAGUUGGCGAGGAUCUUCUCGUCGCGCCCUCCGGUAGCCUGCACCGCGAUGGUGUAGAUGCUGAGGAACUCCGACGGAUGUAUCCUGCCGUCAUACUUCUCGGGCACGUCUGGCUUGAAAUUCUUGGUUUUGGGCCACUAGACCUGCCACAACUCGCGGGUGAACGCAAGGCAACCUGCCGCGUACGGCAAGUCGCCUGGUUCUCCGGCUGCGUGCGCGUCGACAGCGGGCCCGGCGCGAUGGUCAGAUUGACGUCGCGCUUCUCGCCGGCGUUCGAUGCGGGUACGAGCGUCUUCGUGUUGCCGUUCUUGAAGGACGUGGCGUUGAUCGCGGCGAGUUCGCGGGUCCGAUGACGCGGUGGAGUCGGCGUCAAGGUUGGUCCGGCGAGCUGGCGAUCUCGGCCCUUGGGGUUGGGAGCGCACAGAAGCGGCACCCCCAGCGGUCCUGUUGGCACCGGCCUGCGCCGGGGCGUCCUACCGGGCCCUCGACGCGCUUGGUCGCCGGGGCUUGUCGCCGUUGGCGAAGCCGAUGAGGCUGUGUAUGGCCAUCCUCCAGUCGUCGAUCUUGUGCGGCGCCGGAGGGAAGUCUAGGAGGAGCUGGGGCCGGGCCAGCGCUUCCUCUGCUGUCUUGGGUGGCGGUGGUGACGAACGGCGCGAUGAGCGGGAGGUGCUUGGACUCCCAACUGGGUUGGGAGGCACCACACCCCGUCUGGGCGACCGUAUCUCGCUCGCGCCAGCAUGCGGGCGUGCAUGCUGACCUCGGGCGUCCCGCGACCCACCAUGUUGGCCUUGUUCCAGUGCGAGUACGGUGCUAGGAGCACCGGGGCGUUGUCGACCUUGCACCUCCUGGGAGGGGUGCGGCGUCUGCUCGGUCGCCGACGCCUGCGGGGCCUUGUUUUUGGAUCUAGUGACGAUACGAGACCCACCGGCGGCGCCCGCUCCUCCGCCGGUGUCCGUCCCGCCGCCCGUUUGCUCCGGCGGUGGUGGCAGAACCGAUGUAGACGGCGCGGCCACCUCCGAAGGCUUCUUCUUCGGUGGCAUGUUGACGAUGGCGUUGAUGCAGCGUGCGUGGAGACCGGAUCAGAUGCUCACGACCUCGAUGCGCCCCCCUACCUGGCGCGCCAAAGAUGUUGGGGUCGCUCUCUUCUGAGGCCUCGAGCACCUAUGGGGCACUGGGGGCCCCUUCUGGUUCGGCAAGGGAGCGGGGGUCGCGCGCAGAGCAGAUCGAGGUCAGGCGCACGGGAGACAGGCGAUCUUUACCCAGCUUCGGGGCUCUCAGGAGAGAUAACACCCCUACUGCUGCUCUGUGUUGUUAUAGAAUCUAGCUCGAGCGUGCGAGCAUAUGGUGGUGCUGUGGGUGUCGAAUGAACCGAACCCCUUCUAUGUGCGCAUGGGCCUCCCUUUUAUAGUCCGAAGGGGGUACCCACAGGUGGCAGCGUAGGAAGAGGGGGUAGAAACGUAAAAGCGCAGGUUGGUACAACAGUGCACAACAGUGCCCCUACCUAACUCUGACGGCAG